rnacentral:ncRNA from 2 species
UAAAUUCAUCAAGCAUUAGGUGCCCUUUAAGGGAGAAUAGGGAAUAAAGUGAAAAGCUUUAGCGUAAUCCCAACACUGUAUAGAGGAGUUUCAUAGCAAAACCCACUGGAUUUACAUCUGGGAAGGGGCUAUGAAAUUGUGAAUCUGAGCCAGGAGACCUGCCUAAUACGCUUACUGUUA